rnacentral:rRNA from 1 species
UACAGAGGGUGCGAGCGUUAAUCGGAAUUACUGGGCGUAAAGCGCACGUAGGCGGCUUGGUAUGUCGGGUGUGAAAUCCCCGGCUCAACCUGGGAACUGCAUCCGAAACUGCCUUGCUCGAGUAUGGGAGAGGGAAGUGGAAUUUCCGGUGUAGCGGUGAAAUGCGUAGAUAUCGGAAGGAACAUCAGUGCGAAGGCGACUUCUGGACCCAAUACUGACGCUCAGGUGCGAAAAGCGUGGGAGCAACAGGG